rnacentral:rRNA from 1 species
UACAGAGGAUGCAAGCGUUGUCCGGAAUCACUGGGCGUAAAGGGCGCGUAGGCGGCUCAUGAAGGCUGUGGUGAAAGUCCGGGGCUCAACCUCGGAUCGGCCGUGGCGACUCGUGGGCUGGAGCACUGUAGAGGCGGGUGGAAUUCCGGGUGUAGCGGUGGAAUGCGUAGAGAUCCGGAAGAACACCAGUGGCGAAGGCGGCCCGCUGGGCAGUGGCUGACGCUGAGGCGCGACAGCGUGGGGAGCAACGAGG